AGCAGUCGCCGCGGUAAUACGAAGGGUGCAAGCGUUACUCGGAAUUACUGGGCGUAAAGCGUGCGUAGGUGGUGGUUUAAGUCCGUUGUGAAAGCCCUGGGCUCAACCUGGGAAUUGCAGUGGAUACUGGGUCACUAGAGUGUGGUAGAGGAUAGUGGAAUUUCCGGUGUAGCAGUGAAAUGCGUAGAGAUCGGAAGGAACAUCUGUGGCGAAGGCGACUAUCUGGGCCAACACUGACACUGAGGCACGAAAGCGUGGGGAGCAAACAGGAUUAGAUACCCGUGUAGUCCCUGUCUCUUAUAA
rnacentral:rRNA from 1 species